AUUAUAGACCAGCUUGACUUGGGCCUUGAGUGAUUUAGUAUAGCGUUUUAGCAAGUCAUAUCUCUAGCAUGCCUGUGGGUUCUGUACAUCUUUGUACUCGCUUGAUAGCUAUAAAUUGAUUUGGCAUGUUUGUAAAUUCUUUUGUAUCUCUAUCUGCAAGUGAACAUAUUGAUUCCAUUUUCUUGGAUUGGCCGACUGGUUUACUUUAUUGUUGUGACUUGAUUGGGGGCAGCUAGGAAUUAUUAAUCGAGGCUGGUGUACAAAUCCUUGUAAGCCAUGGAUAAUCAAAAUUUAGUAAGGAUUGUCAAAGGUCACUUGAUAUGCUUGCAAUAGAAAAUAAUGAAGCUAUGAAAUGCUCCCAGGUUAGGACCUAAAUCUGUUGGAAUGGCUUGGGGAGCAAUGGUUUAGACUAAAUUAGAAGCAACCCAACAAACUAGGUGUAAGUUGAUUAUUAAGAGAUGGCUGGUGAAGAAAUUUGUGGCUUCAAUGAGAGAUCUAUGUGUUCUGUCCAUAUAAAUAAAGAGAACGGAUUUGGCUUAGCUUGACGGGUUUGGUAAUGCUAGUCAUAGUUUGGUUGAUGUGGCUUGCAUGUAUCUUCCUAAUAAAUUGUUGAAGCAUGAAUUGCUGUAUAGAUUUCAAUGUAGCGUUGGCAAGAAGAACAUGUAUUGAAAAUUAUAUCUGAUUAUCUUAAAUUAAUGAUUACUAACAAUUUUAGAUUGACCGAUACAUGUGUAUCUUUUUUUUNNNNNNNNNNNNNNNNNNNNAAUGUGGCUAUUGAGACCUCCAAAUUUGCUCACUAUACCUUUCAUUCUCUCUACACCUCCCUUUUACUUUUCAAUAUAAGUAUUUGCUCACUAGACCUUAUUUCAAAUUCCUAACAUAACCUUAGUUAUUUAUUGAUAUAUAUUUCAAUCAAUUAAUUACCUCUUAUUCAAUCAAUAGACCUCUCAUUCUUUUUUUUCUUUUUUCCCUUUUUGUUUGUCAACAUCUAUUAUCCCUACCUUCAUUUUUUUGGUUAUUUUUUUCAUGCAAGAAAAUGUUCUAUCAGGAACUACUCUAUAUAUCUUUUUAAUUGUUUUUCUCUCUUGUACGUGUUAUUUUUUCUCUAUUUUUUUCUUUUUGAAUAAUUUGAUCUCUAUUUUGUACCUCAUAAUAAAUUAUUUCAAUAAAUACAUAUUUUCUAUAAUUGAUAGAUAUUAAUUUUUUUUUGCUAAAUUAUUUAUGCAUCUUGCAAGUAUAUGCGUUCAACAUGUAUGAUAAUACAAAAUUGUAUGUCACAUGAUCGAUAUUGAUUAUUUUUUUAGCUCUUAUAAACUAUAUAUAUGCUUUAAUAAAAAGAAAUUGGGAAAAAAAAUAUAUAAGGAAAAUAAUAAAGAGUGAAAUCAAUUAUUAUUGAAUUGGAAAGUCUAAAGAGAAUAAAUACAAUAUUUCCUUUUGUAUAAUUAUUGUCCUUAAUAGUAAUUGUGUAUGAGGAUAUAUAUGUCAUUUAAUAAUUCAAAAUAGAGUGAGGUCUAGUGAGAAAAUUUAGAGGUCCCAAUAGCCGCCCUCAUAUUAUCUCAUGUCUGAUGUAAUUAAACUUAUUAUAAUUUGAAUAAACAAAGAAAAUAAUUCAGAGUAUGGUGAUCAAGUUACCUAAAUCAACAUUUUUAAAUCAAUAUCAUAAAUGAAUAUUUUAAACCUUCAUAAAAAGUCAAUUUAUUAGUGGGGAACUUCUUACCUCUUGAAUCACAAUAUUUCAUGAGCUACCGAAUAUCAAUGUUAAAUUUUCUUUCCAAUUUGCGAAUUUAAUUUAAGUUUUGAUUUUUUUGAUUACCUUAUUAUAAGGAGGAUUAAUUUAUAGAUGACAGUACGUAUACUAACAUGAAUGUUUGCAUAUCCUCUUAAUACAAACAUGCCUGUAUAGAUAGCCUAUACCAAAUAUAGUUUAUAUUAAUAACGAUCUAAUUAAUAAUCACAUCAAAUUAACAAAUAAUUAUACCAAAUAUUUUUUUGUUUUCAUCAAGGUCAUUUAAUUAACUUUUUUAAUCGAGUUGAUUAAGUUGAACUAAAUUAAAUGCAUUUAUUUAUGGAGUCAAAUAUUAUAAUAAUUCAUUAGAUUUAGGAUCACAAUUACGAUAUUAAUAAAAAAAUANNNNNNNNNNNNNNNNNNNNAUAAUAUAUAUAUAUAUAUAUAUAUAUAUUUCACAUUUUAAAUUUAAGCACGAGUAGUGAAAAAAUGGCUUCAAAAACAUCCUUUUAUAAAAUAAAAACAAAAUAAUCUAAAGUCAUUGGAUAUGAAAUGAUAAAAUUGUAUUUUUAUUUAAAAAUAACAUAACAUGAUUUUUUUAUAUUUGAUGAUGUGAGUAGGUGACUUAUCAUGCCACAUAGGAUUAAGGUCAUAAAUUCUAGGCCUUAAUAAUGGCCUUAAUAAGACCUAGAAACAUUUUUCAUCUAAGAAUUUGCUGGGUACGUUUAGAAACACCCUAAACAACUGAUUGAAACUUAGGGGGUUGUAUUCAAUUAGGAAUCUGUAGGAUUUUGUUGUAUUUUGAAAGUCUUUUAAAAUCUGAUGGUAUUCAAACAAGAUUUUAAACAGUCUGUUAAAAUCUUGUGGUAUUCAAUCCUGAUUUUAAAAAGUCUUUUAAACUCUAAUGGUAUUGAAAACUCCAUAGAUUUUCACGUAUUCUAUAACAUGCUAGAUUCUGUAGGAUUUAAAGAGCUUGGUAUAAAUACCAAACCCUAUCAGAAAUCUGCUCUCUGCAUGUGAGAUUUUGAGAUUCCGAACUGAAUAGACCUUCAGGACGAACUCGAUCCUCUUUCAACUGGUUUUACGAAUAAUAAGAGAACAACUCUACAGCGAUUGACCAAUCUCUACAGUCUCGGAGCAACGACAAUGGUGGUCUCAUCUUCAGAUCUCGACCUCGACGGAGCAGAAUCCAUCAAAGGUUUGAUUCAUAACCCUUAACUCGAUUGCCCCCCUUUUUGCUUUGCUCAAAAUUGAAAAGCUAGGGAUUUCCCCGAUUCAGAAAUCGUAAAACACUACAGAGUAGAAACCAAAAUGAAAAACUGAUUUGAGUGAUUAAUGAUUAGAGUCAUGGCAUAUGCUAUAUUGUUGACAGAGUGAUACAAUGCGUCAUUAGAUUUAUGGGUUGGAAUUAUCUGUAAUUUGGCCUAUGAAAUUUAGUUUCGGCUACCAUCAAUACACAGAUUUUUUUUAUGCAUUGAUUGGUUUCUAUAUAUAUAAAAUUCUACUAGCUUAGGCCUUAAAGAAAGCUUAAACCCAGAAAAACAACAUAGAUUGGUGGACAAGAAUGAUCCAGGACACAUAGAUUGAUUGAAGUAUGAGAGCACUAUUAGUGGAAUCCAUAGAAAUGUAUAAUACUGUAAUAUAUAUUGGCAUUGAAGUGAAUGGUUCUAUGAGUAACCUGUAAAUAUUAUACUAGUAAGCCAGCCCCCAACCUCCAUACUUUCUGUCCCAAGAGUUGAAGUGAAUGGUUCUAUGGUCUCCCGGGGCCUCUUUAUCCCUAGCAAUUUUGUAUGGGAAUUAGUUGCUAGCGGCUGUUAGUUUUUUUUUUUUUUUGAUACAAGCUGCUGUAGUUUUUCUCUCUAGUGUCUUUUUGUGCUUUUCUAGCUAGUUUGCUGUUGUUUUUGGUUUUAAGCUAGGCUCCUGUAUUCCUUGUUAACUGUAAGUUGUAGGUUCUUUGCCUGUUGGCUUCUAUGAAAGUUUCUUUCAGACCAAAAAAGAAGAAGCCCAUAACUGAGUAUUAUAUCCUGUGAUUAUUUGUGUCUGUUAUUAGGGACUUAUGAGAAGGAACAGACCUAGAAUGGCGGUGGAAGUGUCAACCAUUGCCUAACAGUGAGGAAAUCACAACUACAAUGUUGCAUUUUCUCAUGCAGGCAAAUCUAGAGGCAAGUGUUAGUGUUUGUAUAGUCAACGUUGUGCUUAGAUUUUCAUUUCGUAAUUUGUUAUAUGAAUGUGAUGUGGGCAGGUAGACAAAUAGUUUGAAUUAGAAAUCUAAAAUUUAAACUUCGUUGUUGGAACUUUGGAGUUUGAUAAUCUUGUUAGGCAUGUUAAAUUUGAUGACUCCCCUCAAUAUCUUUCUUACUAGUCAUGGAUAGUGAUAAGAACCUCAACAACUUUACAUGCCUCAAAGAUCCAUGUACAACAACUUUACUUUGGUAGGCUUUAUAGUCAUGAGUGUUUUUGGUGUGUAUCGAAUUCUUUGAGGAACCUCAGCAACUUUACAUGCCUCAAAGAAUCCAUAUACAACAACUUUACUUUGCUAGGCAUAACUGUUUUUGGUGUGUAUUAUCUACUUUGAGGAACCUCAAGAACUUUAUAUUUUGAAGUGUAAUUUUCUUUCUAGUCAUCAUAUUUGGUUGAUUAGCAGGGUAUGUUUUGUAUAAAGAAAAUUCUUCAACUUUACAGUGGAGGUCAUGUUAUAGUUAAAUUUCCUUUUCGGCCACUAUCAUUUUUAUUUAUAUGAAUAGGCUCAAAUGAAUCACUCCAUUGAGUACUAAUGCAUACUGGACUUCAUCACCAUGAUCUAAUCUACUUCUCAUUUAAUUUCCAAGUCAACUUACACUAAUAUUUGGAGGACUAAUGAAGUGGCCUUAGUGGUGUUACAGGAAGAAAAAACUCAAUGGAGUUGGAAAUUGGAAGAUGAACAAGGCAGAUGAUUUUAUCUUGCAUUGACCUUUUAUGCUGGUUGCUCUCAAGUUUCCUCUACACAAGUACAGAAGCAAAUAUAUGUUGAUAUCAAUUUGUCAUUAGGAGCGACAAACUGAAAUAAUUGUCUUCUCUUUGUCUACUACAUACACUUAUCCACACCCUGAAUUAUGAGAAAAUGUGUAAAUGUCACAUGUUUGUCAAUGGAAAUUUGUGGUAUAGUUCAUUAUGAUUCUUACAGUUAGAGUACUGUAACUUAUAAACCAUUUGCUUUGAGUUGGAUAUCUGGAAUAUUACUGCAAAAGUUGCUGCUAAGAUCCAAAGAAUGGGCAAUUGCCCAAUUAUGUUCCCAUGUAGAUUAUUGUUUUAUAGAAUAUAUAGCGGGAUAUGAGCAAUUGCACUGUAAAAGUCUAGUAACACAAUAUACUGAAAUCUAUUAAAAUCCAAUCAAAUCUUGGUCAUAGAAUACAUUAAAAUAUGUUCAACUCUGUAUAGAAUUAAAAGAAUCUGUGGAGUCUACAUAAUCAAUGAGAAUCCAUAAAGAAUGAGAAGUCAGACAAAAUCAAGAGAAGUCAGACAAAAUCAAUUAAAAUCUAAAUUGAAUACACCUGACAGGACAGAACUCACCAAGCAUACAGCCAUAUAUUGUAGAUGACAGUCAAUAAUGAUGAAUUGAUAAUCUAUAAAGCAAGUAAGGUCUCUCCAUUUGCUGAGGAUUUGAAAAUUACAGAUUUGUUAAUUCACUAAAUUAAAUUAAGAUCUUUGACCUAGUUCAUUAUAAUAAGCACCGCAUGGCUCUUAAGUCUCUUCCUAUGAUAGCAACCAGCAAGGCUAGGACUAAAAAACCAAACCUCAUGUAUUCACAACUCUCUCUCUCUCUCUCUCUCUCUCUCUCUCUCUCUCUCUACAGUCUUCACUACAUAAAUAUAUAUGUAAGCAUCAUCUUGUGUAUAUAUUAUGAGAGUCGAUCCAAUUUUGCAAACGCCAGUAAACUUCAUGUUACCUACGCCCAAGACUAGGACAAUAUGUAAUUAAGAACCCUACGUAUGGAAUAAUCUACUAACAUUUUCUGUCAAUAUAUUUGAUCUCUGAACAAAUAAAGAACACGCGGAGACAAACCCCAUUAUAUACAGUCCUACACAACUUUGUGGCCUUGCACUCUUCUGCGACUAGCUUUCAUUUCCUCUUCCACUCUCCUAAACCUUGAUAUUUGAUCUUGGUGUUUUCCAAUGGCUUUGAGCACCCAAAUAGCCUCCUCAUCAUCUCAUGCUUUGGCUGAGUCAUCUCCCCGUUGGAAGUUCGACGUUUUCUUGAGUUUCAGAGGUGAAGACACGCGCCGGGGUUUCAUCUCCCAUUUAUACAACAAACUGCAGUUCUGCCAAUUAUUCAAGACUUUCAUCGACGAUCGAGAGCUUGAAAUAGGAUCUGAGAUCUCCCCGGAGCUAUUAAGCGCUAUCGAACAUUCUCAUCUCGCCAUCGUUGUUAUCUCACCCCACUAUGCUUCUUCCACUUGGUGCUUGGAUGAGCUUGCCAAGAUCAUCGAGUCUAUGAACCCCGGAGAUAAGAGAGUUCUCCCGGUUUUCCUUAAUGUGGAUCCGUCCGACGUUCGACAUCAAAGGAAUAGCUUUACUGAAGCCUUUGCUGAGCAUGAAGUGAAGUUCAGUGAUGACCCCAAGAAGGUGGAGAGGUGGAGACAUGCUUUGAGAAAAGUGGCCAAUCUAUCUGGAUGGGAUGCAAAGAAUUAUAAGUAAGCAUUACAACAAGGAAAAUGUUUCUAGGCCUUAUUAAGGUCUAGGAUUUAUGACUUUAAUCCUAGGUGACAUGAUAAGUCACAUAUCCACAUCAUCAAAUAAAAAAAAAUCAUGUUAUGUCAUUUUAGGUAAAAAUACAAUUUUAUCUUUUUAUAUCUAAUGACUUUAGAUUAUUUUGUUUUUAUUCUAUAAAAAGAUGUUUUGAAGCCAUUUUUUUUUCAUUACUCGUGCUUAAAUUUAAAAUGUGAAAUAUAUAUAUAUAUACAUAAUUAUAUAUACUCGGUUCGAAAAUCUAAACUCAUUUGAAUAUAUACACGCACACACAUACAUAAUUUUUCCAAAGAGAAAAUUAUACAUAUAUAUGUAUCUAUAUAUUUUUUUAUAUAUAGUUCAUCCAAUAUAAGUUCGAUGGAGAAUAUAAAUAUAAUAUAUAUAGUCCAUAUAUAUAUAAAGUAAAAAGAAAAAUAAUGGUGAAUUAAAAAGUUUAAAACUAUUUGAUUGACAAAGAUGAUUUUUUUUGUUAAUAUCGUAAUUGUGACCCUAAAUCGAAUGAAUUAUUAUAAUAUUUAACUCCAUAAAUAAAUGCAUUUAAUUUAGUUCAACUAAAUCAACUUGAUUAAAAAAAUUAACUAAAUGAUCUUGAUGAAAACAAAAAUAUAUAUUUGGUAUAAUUAUUCGUUAAUUUGGGGUGAUUAUUAAUUAGAUCGUUAUUAAUAAACUAUAUUUGAUAUAGGCUAUCUAUAUAUAUAGGCAUGUCCGUAUUAAGAGGAUAUGCAAACAUUCAUAUUAGUAUACGUACUGUCAUCUAUAAAUUAAUCCUCCUUAUAAUAAGGUAAUCAGAAAAAUCAAAACUUAAAUUAAAUUCACAAAUUGGAAAGAAAAUUUAACAUUCAUAUUCGGUAGCUCAUGAAAUAUUGUGAUUUAAGAGGUAAGAAGUUCCCCACUAAUAAAUUGACUUUUUAUGAAGGUUUAAAAUAUUCAUUUAUGAUAUUGAUUUAAAAAUGUUGAUUUAUGUAACUUGAUGACCAUACUCUGAAUUAUUUUCCUUGUGAUUCGUUCAGAUUAUAAUAAGUUUAUGUCAUACAUGAGAUUUUUUGGUCAAGAGAUGAACUUCAUUGAAUAGGUACGAGGUAUACUGAUUGAAUAGGUAUGUUAAGCGUGAAGUGAUACUUCAUUAAGGAAUGUCUAAAAUAGAAGCCAUCAUCCACAUUAACAUAAACUAACAUACUGUUCUACACGAAUAAAUCCGUACUAGGUAUCCAAUGAUAAUUUCAAUAACAUUGAAAAAGAAGCUAGCCAUCUUUGAUACAACAAGUUGAAGUCAGGAACAUAUCUUAUAGUAACAAACAAGUACUAAGUAGUCAAUAAUGAACUAAUAAUCUUCCCUUAGAACUUUCCCUAAUAGAAUAUUCAUAUUGAAAUAAGAGUGCGACUAUUGGAACCUCCAAAUUUGCUCAGUAUAGCUCUCAUGCUCUUUACACCUCAUUUUUAAUUUUAACUACAACCAUUUGCUCACUAUACCUCCUUUCAAAUUCCUAAAAUAACCUUAGGUAUGUUAUUCAC
rnacentral:lncRNA from 1 species